rnacentral:rRNA from 1 species
UAAAGCUACAAAGAGCUAAUGGAGAAUGCCUUGGUACUGACAGCCGAUGAAGGACGUGUAAAGCUGCGAUAAGCUUCGGGGAGUUGCUAAAAGACCUUGAUCCGAAGAAAUCCGAAUGGGGAAACCCUGCGAGGUUAAAACCUUGUAAUCCACAGAUAAAUACAUAGUCUGUGCGAAGGAAAGCCUGUGAACUGAAACAUCUUAGUAACAGGACGAAAAGAAAAUAACCAAAUGAUUCCGAUAGUAGCGGCGAGCGAACUCGGAAGAGCCUAAACAGUAUGUACGUGAUAGACUGCAAUUGUUGUGCAUAUUGGGUUGUGGGACUCACAGUAUGAUUUGCAGGUCAUACAAAGAGUUACAAAGUUAAUUAAUAGCUGAAGACAACUGGGAAGUUGCACCAUAGAGGGUGAUAGUCCUUUAAGCGACAUUAAUUAAUCUCUUGUGAGUAUCCCGAGUAAGGCGGGGCACGUGAAACCCUGUCUGAAUCCACCGGGACCAUCCGGCAAGGCUAAAUACUAGUCAGUGACCGAUAGUGAACGAGUACAGUGAUGGAAAGGCGAAAAGAACAGUGAGAAGCUGAGUGAAAUAGACCCUGAAACCGUUAGCUUACAAUCAGUCAGAGCACUAUUAAUAGUGUGAUGGCGUGCCUGUUGAAGAAUGAGCCGGCGAGUUAUCUUAUGUUGCGAGGUUAAGGAGUUAACAUCCGGAGCCAUAGCGAAAGCGAGUUUGAAAAGAGCGUUAAGUAACAUGCGAUAGACCCGAACCUUGGUGAUCUAACCUUGACCAGGAUGAAGCGUGGGUAACACUACGUGGAGGUCCGAACCAACCGAUGUUGAAAAAUCGGUGGAUGAGUUGAGGUUAGGGGUGAAAUGCCAAUCGAACCAAGAGCUAGCUGGUUCUCCCCGAAAUGCGUUUAGGCACAGCGUCAAAUUUAUCUUACAGGAGGUAGAGCACUGGUUUUGUGCGGGCGACGAAAUGUUGUACCAAACAAUGUCAAACUCCGAAUGCCUGUAAUGUUAUUAUUUGGCAGUGAGGCUAUGAGUGAUAAGAUCCAUGGCCAAGAGGGAAACAGCCCAGAACGCCAGUUAAGGUCCCUAAUAUAUGCUAAGUGGUUAAGGAGGUAAAGUUGCUGAGACAACCAGGAGGUUGGCUUAGAAGCAGCCAUUCCUUGAAAGAGUGCGUAAUAGCUCACUGGUCAAGCGACUUCGCGCCGAAAAUACACCGGGACUCAAGCAUAUAACCGAAACUGCGUCAUAUAGUUUACUAUAUGGGUAGGGGAGCGUUCUAUAUUAGGAUGAAGUAAGAUCGAAAGGACUUAUGGACGAGAUAGAAGUGAGAAUGUCGGCAUAAGUAGCGAAAACAUUGGUGAGAAUCCAAUGCACCGAAAACCUAAGGUUUCCCACGGCAGGCUCGUCCGCGUGGGGUUAGUCGGAUCCUAAGCUGAGGCCGAAAGGCGUAGGCGAUGGGCAUCAGGUUGAUAUUCCUGAACUAUCUAAUAAUCGUUAUUAGAAGCGGAGGGACGCAGUAGGAUAUGCAAGCAGCCGAACGGAAGUGGCUGUAAAGAUGUGUAGGUAGAACAGGUAGGAAAAUCCGCUUGUUCGUUAUAAACUGAGGCAUCGAGUAGGACAUUCUACGGAAUGGAAGUUGCAGAUUCCACACUGCCAAGAAAAACUUCGCUAUCGAGACUAUUAGGUAUCCGUACCGUAAACCGCCACAGGUAGGUUGGUAGAAAAUACUAAGGUGCGCGAGAUAACUCUCGCUAAGGAACUCGGCAAAAUCACCUCGUAACUUCGGGAGAAGAGGUACCCUGGUAGAGUGAAGCGGUUUACCCGUGGAGCUUGAUAGGGUCGCAGUGAAUUGGCCCAUGCGACUGUUUACCAAAAACACAGGUCUCUGCUAAGUCGAUCAAGACGAUGUAUAGGGGCUGACGCCUGCCCGGUGUCGGAAGGUUACGCGGACAUGUUAGACAUUAGUCAAAGCAUAGAAGCUAAGCCCCGAUGAACGGCGGCCGUAACUAUAACGGUCCUAAGGUAGCGAAAUUCCUUGUCAGGUAAGUUCUGACCCGCACGAAUGGCGU